UCUUUCACAUUAGAAACCUCUUCUACAAAGCCUCAAACUCAUAGCCUUUCCACUUCCUUCAGCCAUGAAAGAAGAUGAUAAGUUAUUAUAUACAUCUUUAAAACUUGAAGAACUCAGAAGCUAGGAGAUGAAGUUUUGAUUAUAAUUCCAUUGCAACUAGAGGAGACAUCCAAAGGGAUCGCAUUGAUCUCAAACCUAAUUAAGUCGUUUUUUCUUAAUUACAUUCUCAGAUCAUGCUAUCCCUUUGGAUUCCUCCUUUAGUGGCUUCUACUAUGAACAAUCAACAUUAACCUCAAUUAUACAAGAGUAUCAUCAUCUUCUUCAUAAAUUAUGAGACAUAUUUUAUAUGAAAAAGUGUUAAAUCUCAAGAGAAGAGAUGAAGAACAUGAUCAUCCCUGUGAGAAAUUUUCUUCAAGUAGCACUGUUUAUGAGUAUUGAAAUGAAGGGAAUUGAAAAAAGUGGUUUGUUUUAAAAGCAACAGUUUGCAUAUUCUCACUCUAAAAAGUCACAAGUUGAGGAUGUCAGUGGUGGAAAAAGUCAUAGUAAUUAUUAUUAUUUUAAAUGCAAACUAUAUAAAAAGUCAUAAUUCAAGUACUAUAACAAAUUAAGUGGAACCAACCUCUGUUAAAGCUUUAAUUUCAAAGCCUAUUUGGAAGUUUAUUUGAAUUUUGAUAAUUAUUCUA